UGGAAAGCACCUCCUGCAAAAACAAAAUGCCACAGAAAACAUCUCUGAGGACUCCCUUUACUGAUAUUACUAAUAAAAAACCUAGAACCAAUGAUGACAUCGGUGAGGGCAAAGCAAAAUAUAAAAGUAGAGGGAAUGCCCGACUGAAAGACCUUGGUCGGAAUCUCUUUGAUGAUGAGCUCACUAAAGAUCAGACUACUUCUGCUAUUGUGUACGAUGAGAAUUGUGAAGAAACAAGGUUUGAAGAUUCUGAUGAUUCUCUAUUUGAAACGGACAGCUCAGCUGAGGACAAUGAUCCCUAUCAAAUAUACGAUGAUGACAGUGGUGUAGAAUCAGACCCAG